GCCUGGGUGGCUCAGUCGGUUGAGCAACUGACUUCGGCUCAGGUCAUGAUCUCACGGUUCGUGGGUUUGAGCUCCGCAUCAGGCU
rfam:Felis catus isolate Cinnamon breed Abyssinian chromosome D2, whole genome shotgun sequence.